rnacentral:rRNA from 1 species
CCGUCAAGCUGUGUCCGUCGUUCCGUAUCGAGAAGAAGUGUUUGGACGUCGUCGUCCUUUGUUUUCACACUUGCUACGAAGGACAAGAAGACGACGAAGAGAAUAGUGUCGGGCGUAGCUCAAGUAGACAGGUCCGUUGUUGUUCCUGUAAGUCUUUGUCCUGACUGCCCCUACGGAACGACCUUGACUUCCGUUCGGAUUUGUUAGUGGUCCCUGUCCCUCAGGAUCUACGUACCUUGUGUUGAUCACUGAAGACGGCCACCGGACCACAGUCAACGUCGGAAUUCGUAUUCCUGUCCCAUUGCCAGGAAUUAGAGAGGAGUCUCCCGGAACGUCCGUGUUAGUGUGGAAGGUAACCCUUGGAGUGCAAGGACUUUCAAGAUUUGGAGUCGGCCUUGUCAAACCCGCCACUCUAUGGAAGUAGCUGACCAGCGGACAGAGCCAAUGCUAUAGAACUGAACAGGUUCUUGAGUGAAGUACCGCGGUACGUGGGCUGAACUUCUUGACGUGGUCAGAGUUCCCGUAGUUGGAGCCGAGUUUGGCCGAGUGGCCUCUUUAGGUUAGAACCGAUCCUCCGAACGGCUCGGAGGCCCGGUAUUGGGACGUCUUCUUGUUGAAGUGACCCUAAUAGGGCGAUAGUGACUGGUUGGAGAGUAGCAAUAUGUCCUAUCUCACGAGGACCUUGGUCGAACUCCCAUGGUAGGGACUCCCGGAACCGUCCGAGCCAUCAGAACGCAAACACCGGAAACUAAACUUGGCGGAGAGUCCGUGGCAGGGGAGUUGAAAGAAGUUGGUAAGGAGAGAUUAGCCGAACUCAAACCGCCAUUUACUUAACGUGCCGUGUGACGGGAGACUGAAACCCUUAUCGGAUGGUUUAGACGUCAUGAACGAGGAACUGCGGUUGGUGAAGUGUCCUUCGUAAGGUCGGAGAGAUCGGUUAAGUUGGUACGAGAUGAAACAUCUGUAGAGGAAAUUGUUGAAGCGACCUGCACACGGUGGUCUCUAGCCCUUCGAAACGGGUGUGUACGAGAGAGAGAGUUGUUUAGUCGAGUUCCGUUGAUCACGACUUCCGACCGUCAAGUACUGCGUGAACUGUUUGACGUGUGCGGAGGCAAUGGAACUGGAAGUCCCGUUGUACGAGCCGCCGCACGACGGCUCGAGACAACGGUUAGAUAGUCGUGUAGAUCUUUAGGAAAUGGAACCUAAGUUACUCUAAUGACCUUGUUAUGGUGUUCCGUAAUGACUUGAACAUCCCAAUUCAGACAACGUCGAGAGAUUAUUGGCAAAAUGGCCACUUAACGGACCGUCGUAACCUUCCGAUUUAAACGAUCUCCGGAACACCAAACUUUUAUUGGCUGACUUUCCCAGGGACGGUAAGAGGGAACCCUUGAACUGCGCCGAUCGUUCAGAAAUGCGUCUCCCGUUGUUGAAACUCCCCGCAGAAGGUUGUUCGGAUCCCUCGGAGGUCCUCUAAUGAUGUCGGUUAAAAAGUUUGUUAUACAAGUGUCCAGGUAACGGAUUUGUCUAGAAAAUGGAUAGAAGGGACUGUUUGCGGGACCUAAACAGUCUAUUAAUAAAACAACCAUGUGAAGGUGGUCUUCAACCGGAGGAGUGUUUUCAACGUAUGUACAUGUAGAGGUUGUUGUUGGACAGUCCCGGGGACGGGCUACGUGACUCGUUAACGGUUUCGAACUAUGUGGAGGCCAACCUGGCAUUGAGGUAGUUAUCAUCGUAAGGACGAAGACACUCGUUUUACGUUCCGAACUAUAACGAUUUGGAAUGGUUUUUGUGUGAGAGGCCAUACUAAGGAGCUCUCGAUCCUGAGUACCUACCGUAAGUUCUUAACGUAGAGCGUGUGUUGUUGGACAGACCAGUAUAGUGACUUUCGAAACCCUUGUACUGUAGCAACAUAGCCAAUCUGGACAGAAAGUUGGCAGAACUGCCGUCUCAAGGUAGUGUCCCACACAAGUCAUUGCACUGUCCCAAAAGGAAACUUCCCUUGAGCCCGGAGACACCACCGCAGAGUCUUAAUGUAAACGGGGAUACGGGCGGUCUUAGGUACCUUGUACCAGAUUCCUUUGCAGUAAACGACUACUUUCAUCAAUAAGGUUAACGACGACCGUAGUAAUAUCCGAGCUCAGACUAAGAACAAAAGAAGUGUUAUUCUUUCUUUGGUUUUCGAGUUAGACGUUGGUGAUCCCCUAAGGUUAACCGUCUACUGUUAAUAGGAUCUCAAAGAAUACGACCUAACCAGGUUCCUUGUUUAACGAAACGGUGUCUGUUAAACUAACCAUCUCCUUCCAUACCUAGACACAUAUUCACGCCAAACGACGAUUUUUUAUGCUACUGGUGUCAACGACACUUCUAAAAACUAGAAGUUGUUAGACCGAGGAGGUUUUCGAAAGAUCGACUCACACUCUGACACUCCGUGAAUCAUUCUAUGCGGUAGCAUUAAACCAGUCACAGUAGUGAACGACGAGUUCGAACCUGAGUUUGGUUUUGCUGAAGUUUCGGUAACACAAACUCGAGUACGGAUUACCCUUGGAUCUAUUCACCGACGUAGGCCUACAUGUACGUAGCGUCGUCGACGUCCCGAACUGUUACCACGUCUCCAAUUUAUAACGGCAACUACAACGACUACGUGAUCUAAUGAACGUGUUGACGCUUGGAGGUCAACAAGUGACACUAAACUUCGGUCCGUUGUAAGAAGAACUAUGCAUAAAUCAACGAGUGUAACCCCUGAAACCGGAACGUUUCUAAGAGAGCCUAGGUCUUCCCCUCGUUGGUUAGUUAAGUUUCUCGAGAUAGCCUUAUUCUCCUUGUUAACCUAUAGAGCGAGGUCCAUCGAGUUUUAAAGAAAUUUGUCAAGA